UAUCAUAACACAGUUUGAGUUCCAGAAUGAACAUAUUUUAAAAAAUAUAUUAGAUUUUGACCCGCGCUUUCAAAGCACGGGUUUGUUUUCUUUGACAUAUUUAUUAUUAUAACAAAUGUAUAUCAAAUGUCUUAGUGAUUUUUGUUAGCAUUUAUUUUUAUGUUUUACAUUAAUUUUUCAUCUAUACCAAAUGUUAGUAUUGUGAAAUAAUUAUUUUUUUUAUUGAAAUAUACAGUAAGAUAUUAACUUUAAAAUUAUUUUUAGUAAAAUUAAUGUGUACAUUGACUUAUAAAAUUAUUAAAAUAUUUAAAUGAAUUGUAAUAUUAUUUAAAUUAUGACCGGGUGUAUUGAUAUCAUCUAUUACAUUCCUAUCUAAUUUAUGUUUAAGUUUAUUAAUUGUAUAUGUGAAAUUUUUAGUUAUAAAUGUGAAAUUUUUAUAUAACUUCAAAAACAAUGUUUAAUAUAUAAUGUAAAGCCCAUAUAAUAUAAACUUGUUUGAUAGAAAAUUAAGAUAUAAACCAUUGCAAACACAUAAUGGUUUAUCAUCACCCAAUAAGUUUGUAGCCCAACACUAAUCACAUAUAUCCAUACUUUUUUUGACCGUUCAUAUUUCAAAAAACACAGAAAAAUUAAGAAGAAAAAGACAUCUAGAACGGUCUGUUUACCGACAGAGGAUAAGAUGAAAAAAACAUUUUUUUUUAUGGUGAGAAUCAAAGCUGAACGACUCCGAUGGUGAGAAUUUGGCGUUUCUCGAUGGUGAGAAUCAAAGCUGUACGACUCCGAUGGUUCGCUUAAUCGUUUUUCGAUCGGUCCAAAUCAAAGCUGUAAUCAUAAUCUCGAUUUGUUAAGAUGAAGAGAUCUUAAAUCGCAUGAGAAGAUUCUGUUAUAUUUAUAAAAGAGAACCGAUGAACACCAUCGUUUUUCACCAUUGAGACUUGUCGAACAGAUAACCUGGAUAAUAAGGUUUUUCAGUGGCAUCGUUAUGGCCAUUAUUCACUUGAAAGACAUUGACAGAGACAUCAGGAAGGCAUUGGUAUUUUCC